rnacentral:rRNA from 1 species
AUGUUCCCUGUACCCUUCUGUGCUGUCGAAGUACCUGUCGCUGCUUGCGUUCUCAUAUUCUCGGUUGGUUUUGAACAGACGCUUGAUGAGCGUGACCUGCUGGAGAACCUCGAGGAGCUGCAUUACCAAGUGGAGAUGAUGCUUAGCUGUUAUGUUCAUGAAACUGGAGAUUGCUUGACUGUCUAUAUUGGGUUGAUGAUCUUUGGGAGCUGGAGUACCAAAUUGAGUAUGAGACUGGAGAUUGAUUUUGGGUUGAGGGUCUUCGGGAGCUUGAAUACAAAGUUGAGAUUGAUUGAUUGUCCUGAUUGGCUUGAGGGUCUUCGUGAGCUUGACCACCAAGUUGAGAGAAUCGAAAGGAUCCAGAACUUACCGGAGAGGAUCGCAGCCAUUGGGCAGAAGUUUCAUGAUCAUUGGGUUACGGUCAGCCUUGCCUUCAGCACAAUGUAUGCAACUGUAUCAGGAAAGGUCCAGGACCAGGCCGUUUCAGUGAAGGCCAAGAUGAUUGACCAGGCCGUUUCAGUGAAGGCCAAGAUGAUAGGAGUGAAGGAUAAACUGAAGGAAAGGCUCUCUCCGCAGAAGGUCAGACCGAACGACGAUCAGCCGGAAGAUGAACCUAUUGCCAUACCAUUGGCAACAGAUUUCUCUCCAUGA